rnacentral:tRNA from 1 species
UUGCGUUGGCCUGGUUCCAGGCCGAGAUCUCGAGGAUGCCGCGGGCGGCGUCCUGCGGCGACAGCCCGAGCUUGCCGGCCAGCGCCUC